rnacentral:misc_RNA from 1 species
GUAGGUGAACCUGCGGAGGGAUCAUUACAGAGAACAUCGCCCGCAAGGGUGACUCUCCAACCCUAUGUUAAUUAUACCUUUGUUGCUUUGGCGAGCCGCCUCGGCCACCGGCUCACGCUGGUGAGCGCUCGCCAGAGGACCCUAAACUCUGUUUAUACAUGUCGUCUGAGUACUAUAUAAUAGUUAAAACUUUCAACAACGGAUCUCUUGGUUCUG